UCUAUAAGGACUGGUCUUUCUGCAGGGCUGAGAUGUGGAGGGGUCUAUAAGGACUGGUCUUUCUGCAGGGCUGAGAUGUGGAGGGGUCUAUAAGGUCUUUCUGCAGGGCUGAGAUGUGGAGGGGUCUAUAAGGACUGGUCUUUCUGCAGGGCUGAGAUGUGGAGGGGUCUAUAAGGACUGGUCUUUCUGCAGGGCUGAGAUGUGGAGGGUCUAUAAGGACUGGUCUUUCUGCAGGGCUGAGAUGUGGAGGGGUCUAUAAGGUCUUUCUGCAGGGCUGAGAUGUGGAGGGGUCUAUAAGGUCUUUCUGCAGGGCUGAGAUGUGGAGGGGUCUAUAAGGACUGGUCUUUCUGCAGGGCUGAGAUGUGGAGGGUCUAUAAGGACUGGUCUUUCUGCAGGGCUGAGAUGUGGAGGGGUCUAUAAGGUCUUUCUGCAGGGCUGAGAUGUGGAGGGGUCUAUAAG